AGGUUGGCGCCUACCGCGACCCAGUGCAUAUGCUGGAACUGGAUCAUUUACUAAGAAGCAGGUGCAAGGACUACUGGAAGGAAAGGCUCAGAGAGGAGCGCGCUGAGAUGUUGAAGCAAGCCAAGCAGUACUGGGAGAAGCAGACCAUAACUGCUUUGGGAUACUGACUCAGUUUUUAUUUUUCUGUCUCUGUUGCAUUGCCCAAAAUCUUCAGGUAAUACUAGCCUACUAACUUUGACAGGAAUAUGCUUACAAAAUGAUUUGUUGCUCAAAUAAUCCUGUAGAAAUUAUGGUUUUUUAUUGAAUCAUAUGGCUGAUUCA